ACAAUUCGUCCCGGCCCAAUCCCGCAAGGGUCGUUGGUGUCGGACAUUUGUCAACCAUUGUGAAAACACCCGUUGCUUCGGCGGCAGGCUCGCGCCGUCAGCCCGUCCGAAGCUCAAUCAAAACUCUUUCUGUAAACUUCAGUCAGACACGAAAAGUAAAUCGUUA
rnacentral:misc_RNA from 1 species